GGAUAGAAUUUUGGGGGAGCUAGUGGAUCAUAUGAAAUGCUUACUUGGUUUUGUAAGUGUAGAUUCAAAUGUACAGUUGUUGCAUUUUCUUACUGGUGACGAAUUUUUUGGCGGAUUGAUCAAGUCAGAAAUGAAACAUUUUGGAGGGUCUGACAUUGAAGCACUUAGUCAGCACUUUGAGAAGAGAAUCUUGAAACUCGAGGAAGAGAAGAAAACAGUCCAGAAGAGAGGGACCGUUUGCUAGCUGAAAUUGAAAACCUUGCUACUGCUUCUGAUGGACAAAGGCAGAAAAUGCACAAAGCUUAUGCACAGAUAUUAAA